rnacentral:rRNA from 1 species
GACAGAGGAUGCAAGCGUUAUCCGGAAUGAUUGGGCAUAAAGCGUCUGUAGGUGGCUUUUUAAGUCCGCCGUCAAAUCCCAGGGCUCAACCCUGGAAGUGCACUUGAUACUACGUAGCUGGAGUCCUGUAGAGGAGAGCGGAAUUCCCGGUGUAGAGGUGAAAUUCGUAGAUAUCGGGAGGAACACCAGUGGCGAAGGCGGCUCUCUGGACAGGUACUGGACGCUGAGACGCGAAAGCGUGGGUAGCAAACGAGGGA